UACAGAGGUCUCAAGCGUUUGUUCGGAUUCAUUGGGCGUAAAGGGUGCGUAGGCGGCGCGGUAAGUCGGGUGUGAAAUCUUGGAGCUUAACUCCGAAACUGCAUUCGAUACUGCCGUGCUUGAGGACUGGAGAGGAGACUGGAAUUUACGGUGUAGCGGUGAAAUGCGUAGAUAUCGUAAGGAAGACCAGUGGCGAAGGCGGGUCUCUGGACG
rnacentral:rRNA from 1 species